CACGUAGGGGGCAAGCGUUGUCCGGAUUCAUUGGGCGUAAAGAGCUCGUAGGCGGUUCGUUAAGUCGGGUGUGAAACCUCCAGGCUCAACCUGGAGACGCCACCCGAUACUGUCGUGACUAGAGUCCAGUGGGGGAGAGUGGAAUUCCUGGUGUAGCGGUGAAAUGCGCAGAUAUCAGGAGGAACACCAGUGGCGAAGGCGGCACUCUGGGCCAGUACUGACACUGAGGAGCGAAAGCGUGGGGAGCGAACAGG
rnacentral:rRNA from 1 species